rnacentral:tRNA from 4 species
GGAGAGGUGUCCGAGUGGCUUAAGGAGCACGCUUGGAAAGCGUGUGUACGCUUUUAAACGUACCGUGGGUUCGAAUCCCACCCUCUCCG